AUUGAACGCUGGCGGCAGGCCUAACACAUGCAAGUCGAGCGGAUGAAGGGAGCUUGCUCCUGGAUUCAGCGGCGGACGGGUGAGUAAUGCCUAGGAAUCUGCCUGGUAGUGGGGGAUAACGUCCGGAAACGGGCGCUAAUACCGCAUACGUCCUGAGGGAGAAAGUGGGGGAUCUUCGGACCUCACGCUAUCAGAUGAGCCUAGGUCGGAUUAGCUAGUUGGUGGGGUAAAGGCCUACCAAGGCGACGAUCCGUAACUGGUCUGAGGGGAUGAUCAGUCACACUGGAACUGAGACACGGUCCAGACUCCUACGGGAGGCAGCAGUGGGGAAUAUUGGACAAUGGGCGAAAGCCUGAUCCAGCCAUGCCGCGUGUGUGAAGAAGGUCUGCGGAUUGUAAAGCACUUUAAGUUGGGAGGAAGGGCAGUAAGUUAAUACCUGGCUGUUUUGACGUUACCAACAGAAUAAGCACCGGCUAACUUCGU
rnacentral:rRNA from 1 species